rnacentral:rRNA from 1 species
GACGAACGCUGGCGGCGUGCUUAACACAUGCAAGUCGAACGGAAAGGCCCUGCUUGCAGGGUACUCGAGUGGCGAACGGGUGAGUAACACGUGGGUGAUCUGCCCUGCACUUCGGGAUAAGCCUGGGAAACUGGGUCUAAUACCGGAUAGGAGCCAUUUUUAGUGUGAUGGUUGGAAAGUUUUUUCGGUGUAGGAUGAGCUCGCGGCCUAUCAGCUUGUUGGUGGGGUAAUGGCCUACCAAGGCGGCGACGGGUAGCCGGCCUGAGAGGGUGGACGGCCACAUUGGGACUGAGAUACGGCCCAGACUCCUACGGGAGGCAGCAGUGGGGAAUAUUGCACAAUGGGCGCAAGCCUGAUGCAGCGACGCCGCGGGGGGGAUGACGGCCUUCGGGUUGUAAACUCCUUUCGCUAGGGAUGAAGCUUUUUGUGACGGUACCUAGAGAAGAAGCACCGGCUAACUACGUG